rnacentral:rRNA from 1 species
GAACGAACGCUGGCGGCAUGCCUAACACAUGCAAGUCGAACGCUUCUCUUCGGAGAGGAGUGGCGCACGGGUGAGUAACGCGUGGGAACCUGCCCCGGAGUGGGGGAUAACCCGGCGAAAGCCGGGCUAAUACCGCAUACGGCCUAUGGGCGAAAGAUUUAUCGCUCUGGGAGGGGCCCGCGUCCGAUUAGCUAGUUGGCGGGGUAACGGCCCACCAAGGCGACGAUCGGUAGCUGGUCUGAGAGGAUGAUCAGCCACACUGGGACUGAGACACGGCCCAGACUCCUACGGGAGGCAGCAGUGGGGAAUAUUGGACAAGUGGGGGCAACCCUGAUCCAGCAAUGCCGCGUGAGUGAUGAAGGCCUUAGGGUUAGUAAAGCUCUUUCGCACGCGACGAUGAUGACGGUAGCGUGAGAAGAA